AGGUUCCAAAAUUAUUGUUAAGUGAAAAUAAGGUAGUGUUUAUCCAAGCCAACCAGGAAAUGGGCUUAGGAGCGGCCAUUUUUUAAAGACCUCGUAACAGAGCACUGGUUUUAUACAAUUUUGUAUGUAUUGUUAGAUGCACCUAAAAUUUAACGGAUCUAAAUAAUAUACCGAGACCUUGUCCAUAAAUAUUUUUAUGUACAAGUUACAUAGAAUAUAUAUGGGGUAGCGGAACAUUGGGCAUAUCUCAGAUUUUUUCUUUUUAAGACUUAAGAUUAGAUUACCCAAGUGAUAAUGCUGACAUGAGUAACGAUAAAGGGUUUAUACCCUCGCCUAAAGCUUAUGGAAUUUACUUAAAGUAACGGCCUCUAAGUUUAAAUUUGCUAUAGUUUAAACAAACAACACUUGAUACCUAACUCUAACAGACGAUACAAGUGCAAAAUAGUAAACACCUAAUGGUAUAAACGAUGAGAAAAAGCUAAGUUUUACAGAUAUAAAUAGCAUGAGUGUUGCAGGUAGGUAUUAUAUAUAUAAUGGAUUUUUUUUUUUUAUUCUUUUUACUUAUU
rnacentral:rRNA from 1 species